rnacentral:rRNA from 1 species
UAUUGGACAAUGGGGGAAACCCUGAUCCAGCAAUGCCGCGUGAAUGAUGAAGGCCUCACCCGCUGUAAAGUUCUUUCACCUGUGAAGAUAAUGACGGUAGCAGAAGAAGAAGCCCCGGCAAACUCCGUGCCAGCAGCCGCGGUAAGACGGAGGGGGCUAGCGUUGUUCGGAAUGACUGGGCGUAAAGGGCGCGUAGGCGGUUUAUUAAGUGAGGCGUGAAAGCCCUGGGCUUAACCCAGGAGGUCCCUUUCAUACUGGUGAACUAGAGUGCGAGAGAGGAAAGUGGAAUUCCUAGUGUAGAGGUGAAAUUCGUAGAUAUUAGGAAGAACCCCAGAGGCGAAGGCGGCUUUCGGCUCGCAACUGACGCUGAGGCGCGAAA